UAAAGAGAGCCGAAUCGCUGUGAAUGUUGCGCAUUACACAAAGUAGGUAAAAUUAGUCCUCCUCUCCGACCAUCCACUUAGUGUUCGUACGAAAAAGGUCAAAGCAGUAAGGGAAAGAAUACGAAGAAAUCGUAUCCGAAAGAAAAAAAAAAUAAUUUGCAAGACUCGGCGCCGGGUCAUAUAGCUCGGUCUACGCAGUCUUGGUUGGAAACGAACGUUUCUGAUUUCGUCAGAGCUGAAGACUGGCCGUCGUCUAGAUCUUAAUCUGCUAUGAUUAUGGUUUAUGGUCAGUUUUAGAGACUGGUUGCUCUAAACGCCAUGAUAAAUUGGAGUCCCUAAUACAAUCCGUAGGCUUGGCAGUGAAGAAUUUUCCCAUGAAAAGAAUGUGAGCUUCUAUUGAUAUCUGGCCUCAACGUUUUAAGGACUGUAUUGCAGUC